UUUCUUCUAUUCUUCUCUCUAUACGUUAGUGUUCUAACCAAUAAUCACCGAUGCGAUGUUCUGUCCGAUCGAUUCAGGAACCAUCUAAUAAAUGCCAAAGUGCUGUACUUUGUGAAUUUCGGUAAACGGAAUCCAAAGUGCUAUACUUUGUGAAUUUUGUUAAGGUUCGAAUCUCGUGACUACCGUUAAGGUUUGAUUUGGGUUUUACACAAAUACGUAUUCCAUUCUGUUAAACUAUAUGUUUAACCACCAGAAUACUCCCAACUACACACUUACAAUCAAACAAGCUGUUAAAUCAUCAGAAAAUUCAGAACAAUAAAGUAUACGCUUAAUUAUCAGAAGGAAUAGAAUCAAGAAGCUUGCUAAAUCAUGCUUAUACUGUGAGUCAUUCUCUUUUUAUCAAAUUAUUUCCAAAACUCUAUAUUUCAAAGUUAUAAUUACAGGGAUUAAGUCUUUGUAAUCACCAAGUUACAGCCGGUGUGUGGGGUUUUGUAUACAUUACUUGAUAACCGUCACCAUUGGACAACGGAUUAGCCAAGGGGUGAUAUGACCAUAGUCACAGACACCAAUUGGACAACGAGAUAGCCAAUGGGUGGUCGAGUGACAAAUACCGUGGGUAUAUGGUUGAUAAACAGAAACAUUGUAAUCGCUCUUAAUACUGUAAAUUAUAACAAUGCAUCGUUUUAAACAAAAAGAAUGAACUCACUCAGUAUUUCCUGCUGACAAAACCUUUUUAAAACGCGUUUCAGGUAAUUACAGUAGAUCGGAAUAAGAGUUGGAUACGGCACCAAAAAGGCUUACAGAAGUGGCUUGAUUUAUCAAUUAAAUUAAAUUAAGAAAAAUUGUUUUAUGUAAUCGGGUUUAUCCCAUAUUAAAAGCUACCUUUAUGAAAUGACGGUUUACCCCCAUCUGUUCAAAUAAAUAAAUUAGAUCCGGUGUUUCUAAACUCUGAUAUUUUUUUCCUAACUCACGGUCCUGAUGAAAUUUCCGUUGCACUACUUUUCAAAAUAACCACCGGUACCACUUGGCUGUUCGCGGCUCCCGAUUCCAUCAAGGGUGGGGUCGGGAGUCGUGACACUUGUUGUCUUUUAAACUAUUGGAGCUCCCCUUGCAUAGCUUCUACCCAACUGUUGUUUUUCAGUGCCUCUUGGUACUUGACUGGUUGGAUGAGUGAUAGAAAGCCAACAAAAAGACAGAUGUUUUGAGAUUGACUUCUUGUGAGAAUCCCUUCACUGAUGUUGCUAAUAACUUGGUCUGGUGGAUGAGAUUUAAGGAAAAUUAGAUCUCCCUUGUAUGGAACAAUGGCAUUGAGAGCCAACAUCUAUUGGAGACGGAGGUAGAGGAAUAAGAGGAAUAAGUGUGGCACAAUGUUGGCUUUUAUCUACAGAUGAUAGACUUUUGUUAACAGAGGUUGGACUUGAUGAAGUGCCAAAGGUUUAAUCAACAAGUGUUGAUGCAGCAGUGACAGAGUUUUGGCACAAUGUUGGCUUUUAUAUAUGUAUAGUCUUUUACUUCUAAUUUUUAUAUUUAAUAGAUAUUUGAGAAAGAUUGAAUAAACUUUUACAUUUUCU
rnacentral:lncRNA from 1 species